GAUGAAGAACGUAGCGAAAUGCGAUAAUUAAUGUGAAUUGCAGAAUUCAGUGAAUCAUCGAAUCUUUGAACGCACAUUGCGCCCGCCAGUAUUCUGGCGGGCAUGCCUGUCCGAGCGUCAUUUCAACCCUCGAACCCCUCCGGGGGUCCGGCGUUGGGGAUCGGGAACCCCUAAGACGGGAUCCCGGCCCCGAAAUACAGUGGCGGUCUCGCCGCAGCCUCUCAUGCGCAGUAGUUUGCACAACUCGCACCGGGAGCGCGGCGCGUCCACGUCCGUAAAACACCCAACUUCUGAAAUGUUGACCUCGGAUCAGGUAGGAAUACCCGCUGAACUUAAGCAUAUCAAUAAGCGGAGGA
rnacentral:misc_RNA from 1 species